rnacentral:misc_RNA from 1 species
UACGGAGGGUGCGAGCGUUAAUCGGAAUUACUGGGCGUAAAGCGCGCGUAGGCGGUUUGUUAAGUCAGAUGUGAAAUCCCCGGGCUCAACCUGGGAAUGGCAUUUGAGACUGGCAGGCUAGAAUGUGGUAGAGGUGAGUGGAAUUCCAGGUGUAGCGGUGAAAUGCGUAGAGAUCUGGAGGAACAUCAGUGGCGAAGGCGACUCACUGGGCCAUUACUGACACUGAGGUGCGAAAGCGUGGGUAGCGAACAGG